CUAGGAGGCUCGAGGCCUAAACCCCAACCAUCGCUGAACUGAUACCAGUUGCUUCGCUGCGCUGGCUCCCCGGUGGACCAGCCCCCCUCGCAGGAGUAAGGGGCAGCCGCCGAGUACAAACUCUUAUUAUAGUGUAUCUCUGAGUACUAACAAUAAGUUA
rnacentral:misc_RNA from 1 species